rnacentral:rRNA from 1 species
GUAGUCCACGCUGUAAACGAUGGUCACUAGAUGUCGGGAGUUCUUACCCUCUCGGUGUCGUAGCAAACGCGUUAAGUGACCCGCCUGAGGAUUACGGCCGCAAGGUUAAAACUCAAAGAAAUUGACGGGGGCCCGCACAAGCGGUGGAGUAUGUGGUUUAAUUCGAGGCAACGCGAAGAACCUUACCUGGGCUUGACAUCCCACGCUAUCCUGUGAAAGCAGGAGUUCCCGCAAGGGACGUGGUGACAGGUGCUGCAUGGCUGUCGUCAGCUCGUGUCGUGAGAUGUUGGGUUAAGUCCCGCAACGAGCGCAACCCUCUUUGUUAAUUGCCAGCAUUAAGUUGGGCACUUUAACGAUACCGCUUGCCGAUAAGGCAGA